UACGUAGGAAGCGAGCGUUAUCCGGAAUUACUGGGCGUAAAGCGCGCGUAGGUGGUCUUUCAAGUCGAAUGUGAAAUUUCCCGGCUUGACCGGGAAGGGUCAUUUGAUACUGUUGGACUAGAGAGCGGCAGGGGGAAGCGGAAUUCCCGGUGUAGUAGUGAAAUGCGUAGAUAUCGGGAGGAACACCAGUGGCGAAGGCGGCUUCCUGGGCUGUUUCUGACACUGAGGCGCGAAAGUGUGGGUAGCGAACAGAAUUAGAUACUCUGGUAGUCCACACCGUAAACGAUGGGUACUAGGUAUAGGGAGUAUCGACCCUCUUUGUGCCGAAGCUAACGCUUUAAGUACCCCGCCUGGGGACUACGGCCGCAAGGCUAAA
rnacentral:rRNA from 1 species